rnacentral:rRNA from 1 species
UGGGGAAUACUGGACAAUGGGGGCAACCCUGAUCCAGCCAUGCCGCGUGAGUGAUGAAGGCCUUAGGGUUGUAAAGCUCUUUUAUCCGGGACGAUAAUGACGGUACCGGAGGAAUAAGCCCCGGCUAACUUCGUGCCAGCAGCCGCGGUAAUACGAAGGGGGCUAGCGUUGCUCGGAAUCACUGGGCGUAAAGGGCGCGUAGGCGGUCUUUUAAGUCGGGGGUGAAAGCCUGUGGCUCAACCACAGAAUUGCCUUCGAUACUGGGAGACUUGAGUUCGGAAGAGGUUGGUGGAACUGCGAGUGUAGAGGUGAAAUUCGUAGAUAUUCGCAAGAACACCGGUGGCGAAGGCGGCUCACUGGCCCGGAACUGACGCUGAGGCACGAAAGCGUGGGGAGCAAACAGGAUUAGAUACCCUGGUAGUCCACGCCUUAAACGAUGAAUGCUAGCCGUUGGUCAGCUUGCUGAUCCGUGGCGCCGUUAACACAUUAAGCAUUCCACCUGGGGAGUACGGUCGCAAGAUUA